UCGGGAAUUUUGGGCAAUGGGCGAAAGCCUGACCCAGCAACGCCGCGUGAAGGAUGAAGUAUUUCGGUAUGUAAACUUCGAAAGAAUAGGAAGAAUAAAUGACGGUACUAUUUGUAAGGUCCGGCUAACUACGUGCCAGCAGCCGCGGUAAUACGUAGGGACCAAGCGUUGUUCGGAUUUACUGGGCGUAAAGGGUGCGUAGGCGGCAUAUCAAGUCACUUGUGAAAUCUCCGGGCUUAACUCGGAACUGCCAAGUGAUACUGAUGUGCUAGAGUGCAGAAAGGGCAACUGGAAUUCUUGGUGUAGCGGUGAAAUGCGUAGAUAUCAAGAGGAACACCUGAGGCGAAGGCGAGUUGCUAGGCUGACACUGACGCUGAGGUACGAAAGCUAGGGGAGCGAACGGGAUUAGAUACCCCCGUAGUCCCUGAGCGGGCUGGCAAGGCGCAU
rnacentral:rRNA from 1 species